rnacentral:rRNA from 1 species
CACGUAGGCACCAAGCGUUGUCCGGAUUUAUUGGGCGUAAAGAGCUCGUAGGCGGUUCGGUUAGUCGGGUGUGAAAACUUUGGGCUCAACCCAAAGCGUGCACUCGAUACUGCCGUGACUAGAGUUCGGUAGGGGAGUGGGGAAUUCCUAGUGUAGCGGUGAAAUGCGCAGAUAUUAGGAGGAACACCGGUGGCGAAGGCGCCACUCUGGGCCGAAACUGACGCUGAGGAGCGAAAGCCAGGGGAGCAAACGGG